UCCCAGACUCCUACGGGAGGCAGCAGUGAGGAAUAUUGGUCAAUGGCCGGAAGGCUGAACCAGCCAAGUCGCGUGAGGGAAUAAGGCCCUAUGGGUCGUAAACCUCUUUUGUCGGGGAGCAAGGCCCGCCACGUGUGGCGGGAAGGAGAGUACCCGAAGAAAAAGCAUCGGCUAACUCCGUGCCAGCAGCCGCGGUAAUACGGAGGAUGCGAGCGUUAUCCGGAUUUAUUGGGUUUAAAGGGUGCGUAGGCGGAAGGUUAAGUGAGGGGUCAAAUGUCGGUGCUCAACACCGGCCUGCCGUUGAAACUGGUCUUCUUGAGUGAGCGAGAAGUAUGCGGAAUGCGUGGUGUAGCGGUGAAAUGCAUAGAUAUCACGCAGAACUCCGAUUGCGAAGGCAGCAUACCGGCGCUCAACUGACGCUGAGGCACGAAAGCGGGGGGAUCGAACAGGAUUAGAUACCCUGGA
rnacentral:rRNA from 1 species